rnacentral:lncRNA from 1 species
UUUUUUUUUUUUUUUUUGAAAAAGUGAUUGGGGGCUAUCUGACCUGGGGUUUAGGGCAUGGAGGAAACAGCAUGUAAAGGAGAAAAGACAGAGUAUUUGGUAAAGAGAAUUUAACAGCAAUAGGAAAUAAGAACCAAUGAUGCCAAGGAUAAAUGCAGUCUUUACUCCCGUAUCACUGAAUUCUUGGAAAUAUGGGGGUAGGGGUGGUGAUGGUAAUUCUGUUUUCUCCCCUUAGGUAGGAAGAGCAUUGGGCUAAAUGUACUUUCACUCUCUCCCUUUCCUUUCUUAAGUAUUAAGGGACAGACUAUGGGCUGGAGGACUUUGAGGAUGUCCAUCUCAUGACAUUUGGGUUAUAUCUGUUCUAUGGGGCUUAUUUUAAGCUCUGUAACUUCCAACAGGGUUCACUGACUUUCUCCCAAGACCUUAGGUACUGUCCUCUUUUCAGAUCUGUUUUGGUGCCUCUGGGUCUUGAAUAUCUGAGAAAAUAUAAAUAUAAACAUUUCAAUAAUUUUCUGUGGUGAGACGAGUAUGACAGAUGCGUCAUUCAUUUGUAUCAAUGAAUGAAUGAGGACAAUUAGCGCAUAAAUCCCGAGUACAACAAUCUGAGGGUAGGGGUGGUACCAUCCAAUUUCUAUUUAUAAAGCUAUUUAUUUCUAUUUAUUUAUGCUUGUGACAAAUGUUUUGUUUAGGACCACAGGAAUCACAAAGAUGAGUUUUUGAAUUUAAGAAGUUAAUGGUCCAGGAAUAAUUACAUAGCUUACAAAUGACUAUGAUAUACCAUCAACAAGAGGUUUCAUGAAAAAAAAAUCUGAAAGGUUUAAUAAGUUGUCAAAGGUGAGAGGGCUCUUCUCUAGCUAGGGACUAAUCAGAAAUACAUUCAUGGAUAAUUAUUUGAAUAGACCUUAAGGGUUGGGUACUUUUUUUCAAGCAUUGAUGGAGAAGGAGAGUGGAGAUUUGAAAACAUUUUCAACCAACCAACCACCCAAUCCAACAAACAAAAAAUGAAAAGGAUCUCAGAAACAGUGAGGAAAGAGAAGGAAUUUUCUCACAACCCACAUGUAUAGCUCAACUGCUCUGAAGAAGAAUAUAUCUAAUAUUUAACACUAACAUCAUGCUAACAAUGAUAAUAAUUACUUUCAUUUUUUAAUGUCUGUAGGUACCAGGCAGUUAGAAGAUAUUAUUCCAUUUAUUAUCAAAAUAAACUUCAGGGGAUAGAUCACUUUCAUGAUAUAUGAGAAAAAUUAAAAAUCAGGUUAAAUUAUUUGCCUAAUGUCAUAUAGCUAAUAAUUGACCAUAAGACAAUUAGAUUUGAAUUAGUUUUGCAUCUUUCUAAUACCAAAGUUCAGUUUACUGUUCCAUGUUGCUUCUGAGUCUUUUCACAGACGUAUGAAAAAGUAAGCGGAAUCAGAAUUACAUCAAUGCAAAAGCAUUGCCGUGAACUCUGUACUUAGAACUUUCAGCAAUAACACAUAUAGAUUGAGGAUUGUUUGCCGUUAGUAUACAAACUCUGGUACAAAGCUCCUCUUUAUUGCUUGUCUUGGAAAAUUUGCUAUUCUUCAUGGUUUCUCUUUUCACUACUAUCUUUUUUUCUCAACCACUCACAGGGCUACAAUAAUUGUCUACGAACUUAUGAUUCUGAAAUGUCUAGCCUCAAUCUUGUUCCAGAAGAUAAAAAGUAGCAUUCAAAUGCACAUCAACCUCUCCACUUGGAGGGCUUAAAGACGUUUCAAAAUGCAAACCCAGGAGCUUUGCCUAGAAUGCUUCCUAAAAUGUGUCCUGUAGCACAUAGGGUCCUCUUGUUCCUUAAAAUUUAAUUACAUUGAGCCCAGUGCUCAUCCCACCUAUGGGGAGAUGAGAGUGAAAAGGGAGCCUGAUUAAUAAUUACACUAAGUCAAUAGGCAUAGAGCCAGCACUGUUUGGGUAAACUGGUCAC